CAACCCUUAAGCCCCUGUUGCUUAGCGUUGGGAGCCUACUGGACCUUGUCCGGUAGCUCCCCAAAGUCAGUGGCGGAGCCGGUUCGCACUCCAGACGUAGUAGCUUUUACACGUCGCCUGUAGCGCGGGCCGGUCCCCUGCCGUAAAACACCCCAAUUCUUAUA
rnacentral:misc_RNA from 1 species